UAUUGCUUUAGAACUCAAACUGAUUGAGAGUAGAGGCCAAACGACGAGGAGAGGAGAGGAGAGGCAGCGGUGAGGCGAGGGGAAACAACGGCGAAACGACGGCGACGAGGUCCGUUCGUCUUCAGGAUCAUUUUUCUCAGGAUCAUGUCAAUGUCAAUGGGUUCAAAUAUUGAUACUGGAUAUUUGCAAAAUCAUAGAUGCAAUUGUGGAAAAAAAGUUGCAGUGUUCAUAUCAGAAUCAGAGAAAAAUCCAGGGAGGCUGUAUUUCAAGUGUGCAACUAGGAUGUGGGAGUACUUUGGAUGGGGACCGGCUUCGACUGGGAAUGCAUCAGAUAUCCAAAGGAAAAGUAAAGCUACUUAUCUGAAGAAUGAAGAUGAGAGAGGCUAUGAUUAUGAUGUUGACAAACUCAAUCAAAUUAUAAAUAAAUUGGAACGAGUUGAAGCAAACCAAGAAGCUAUGAAACUGUUUAUGUUCACAGCCAUUGUGUUGAUUGGUUUUACUAUGCUAAUAGCACUACUGAAGUGAAUGUAAUCUUUUAGUGAUGCGCUUAACCUUUUUUAGGUGGAUGUAUUUGGGUAACCUUAGUGAAUGUAACCUUUUUUUUUUUUUGGUGGAUGUAUGUGGGUUUUGAAUGUUGUAGACCUGAAACUAUGAAUGUUGAUAUGUAAAGUUUAAUGGAAUUACCUAUGUUUGACGAA